rnacentral:rRNA from 1 species
UGGGGAAUUUUGGACAAUGGGCGCAAGCCUGAUCCAGCCAUGCCGCGUGCGGGAAGAAGGCCUUCGGGUUGUAAACCGCUUUUGUCAGGGAAGAAAUCCUUUGGACUAAUAAUCUGAAGGGAUGACGGUACCUGAAGAAUAAGCACCGGCUAACUACGUGCCAGCAGCCGCGGUAAUACGUAGGGUGCAAGCGUUAAUCGGAAUUACUGGGCGUAAAGCGUGCGCAGGCGGUUAUAUAAGACAGAUGUGAAAUCCCCGGGCUCAACCUGGGAACUGCAUUUGUGACUGUAUAGCUAGAGUGCGGCAGAGGGGGAUGGAAUUCCGCGUGUAGCAGUGAAAUGCGUAGAUAUGCGGAGGAACACCGAUGGCGAAGGCAAUCCCCUGGGCCUGCACUGACGCUCAUGCACGAAAGCGUGGGGAGCAAACA